CGCAGCAGGCGCGAAACCUCCGCAAUGUGAGAAAUCGCGACGGGGGGAUCCCAAGUGCCAUUCUUAACGGGAUGGCUUUUCGUUAGUGUAAAAAGCUUUUGGAAUAAGAGCUGGGCAAGACCGGUGCCAGCCCGCCGCGGUAACACCGGCAGCUCUAGUGGUAGCAAUUUUUAUUGGGCCUAAAGCGUCCGUAGCCGGUUUAAUAAGUCUCUGGUGAAAUCCUGUAGCUUAACUGUGGGAAUUGAUGGAGAUACUAUUAUACUUGAGACCGGGAGAGGUUAGAGGUACUCCCAGGGUAGAGGUGAAAUUCUGUAAUCCUGGGAGGACCGCCUGUUGCGAAGGCGUCUAACUGGAACGGUUCUGACGGUGAGGGACGAAAGUUAGGGGCGCGAACCGGAUUAGAUACCCGGGUAGUCCUAACUGUAAACGAUGCGGACUUGGUGUUGGGGUGGCUUUGAGCAUGCUCCAGUGCCGAAGGGAAGCU
rnacentral:rRNA from 1 species